rnacentral:rRNA from 1 species
GACGAACGCUGGCGGUGUGCUUAACACAUGCAAGUGGUGCGACGAACCAGAGCUUGCUCUGGGGCAAAGCCGCGAACGGGUGAGUAACACGUGGGUAAUCUACCCCGAUGACCGGGACAACCCGAGGAAACUCGGGCUAAUACCGGAUGUGGUACGGAGACAUAAGUCUCUUUACUAAAGGUAGCUUCGGCUUCCGCAUUGGGAGGGGCCCGCGGCCCAUUAGCUAGUUGGAGGGGUCAAGGCCUACCAAGGCAACGAUGGGUAGCUGGUCUGAGAGGACGAUCAGCCACACUGGGACUGAGACACGGCCCAGACUCCUACGGGAGGCAGCAGUGGGGAAUCUUGCGCAAUGCGCGAAAGCGUGACGCAGCAACACCGCGUGAGGGAAGACGGCCUUAGGGUUGUAAACCUCUUUCAGAUGGGACGAAGGUGAUGCGGUGAAUAGCCGAUGUCAUUGACGGUACCGUCAGAAGAAGCUCCGGCUAAC